CUCCAGAUGUUGCUGAACUACAACUCUCAUGAGUUUAUGAAUGAAACAGCUAGGCCAAGAAUUGUGGGAGUUGUAGUUCAGCAACAUCUGGAG